rnacentral:rRNA from 1 species
UGUAAGCGUAUACCAAAGUUGUUGCAGUUAAAACGCUCGUAGUCGGAAUUUGGCAGUUCCGGAUGUGUGCACGUCGUGUGCGCACUUCGCGGGGAUUGCUUUUGUGGUCUUGCGUAGGAUGAGGCACUUUUAUUAGUGAACGUCCUCACGCAACCACUUUUUACUGUGAGAAAAUCAGAGUGCUCAAAGCAGGCAUUUGCCGUGAAUGUAUUAGCAUGGAAUAAUAGAAUAGGACUUGGUUCUAUUUUGUUGGUUUGUUGGGACUGAGUAAUGAUUAAGAGGGACAGUUGGGGGCAUUUGUAUUUCGGCGCUAGAGGUGAAAUUCUUAGAUUGCCGAAAGACAAACUGCUGCGAAAGCGUCUACCAAGGAUGUUUUCAUUGA